CUAUUAUUACAGUUGUUUUUGUUUAGUGGCCAACACAGCUGCUGUUGUACGCCCGCCCGCCCGCUGCUGACACGCAGAAUUCAAUGCAACAAAACAGAAGCAGGAGCUAAAUGUAACGGUUGUCCAAGUGCAAAACAAAAGCAAAUACAUCAGCAGCAGCGCCAGCAGCGACAGCGGCCGCGGCAGCGACAGCUCUUGCAAAAAUCAUAGAGAGCGCAAAGUUUGCCUUGAAUGCAAGCAAAAGAGUUGGAGAGCGCAAGUAAAUGAGCCGCGGAACUGCAUGAGUGUGAAGGAGAUGGAGUGCCGAAUAGCGCGGGAGAGCACAAGUAGCGGGAUCCUAUUAGCGAAUUGUGGGUGAAGGAGAUGGAGCAUCGAAAAUAGAGAGCGCAGCCAUGGAUGAUGUGUUCGAAGAUGGGGUGGACUACAAAGACAUUUGGCAAGGUGUGAGGUGUCGAGGGGUAUAAGUGAACAUUAAAAAUAUACAUUCUUUAACUCCUUGCACUCUUUUUUUUUACUCUUGAACAAAAACACCCUGCUAGAUUAACUAGAACAAACUUAGUUACUGACUAGCCAUGGCAUACCCAUCAUUUUCUUAGCCCUGAUUAAUGACGUCACAGGCUUAAAAACCCUCAAAACUUUCAUUGCGCAGCCCUGAAAACGAUCAGCCAACGUGUCAGCCCUCGUUCAAGCAGAGAAAAAAAGAUGCGUAGAAGCAGAACAGUUUUUUUUUGCGAGAACAAAAAGGGCGCAAAAAAAAUAGUGGAAUAUAAAGAACAAUAAACAAAAUGUGCUCUAUCUGGUGCCCAACAGAGUGCGGCAACGUUUAUACGAAAAUGGGUUAUGAAAAACAAUUUGAAAAGUGGAGCGUUUCGUGGCUGAUGGAUAGUGUAAGGUUAGUAGGCUACAGGCACGGCUCUGCCACGGCUCUGGCUCUGGCUCUGCCACGGGGCACACAAACUUUGACUUAAGUUCACGUUGAGAGUUUUUCAGUUUAAAAGACAAGCAAAU
rnacentral:sRNA from 1 species